rnacentral:rRNA from 1 species
CAAAACUUCAAAAAUGGUCUCAGUUCGGACUGUAGGCUGCAACUCGCCUACACGAAGUUGGAAUUGCUAGUAAUCGUGGAUCAGCAUGCCACGGUGAAUACGUUCCCGGGUCUUGUACACACCGCCCGUCACACCAUGGGAGCUGGUAACACCCGAAGUCAGUAGUCUAACCGCAAGGAGGACGCUGCCGAAGGUGGGAUUAGCGACUGGGGUGAAGUCGUAACAAGGUAAC